AUUGAACGCUGGCGGCAGGCCUAACACAUGCAAGUCGAACGGUAACAGGAAACAGCUUGCUGUUUCGCUGACGAGUGGCGGACGGGUGAGUAAUGUCUGGGAAACUGCCUGAUGGAGGGGGAUAACUACUGGAAACGGUAGCUAAUACCGCAUAACGUCGCAAGACCAAAGAGGGGGACCUUCGGGCCUCUUGCCAUCAGAUGUGCCCAGAUGGGAUUAGCUAGUAGGUGGGGUAACGGCUCACCUAGGCGACGAUCCCUAGCUGGUCUGAGAGGAUGACCAGCCACACUGGAACUGAGACACGGUCCAGACUCCUACGGGAGGCAGCAGUGGGGAAUAUUGCACACUGGGCGCAAGCCUGAUGCAGCCAUGCCGCGUGUAUGAAGAAGGCCUUCGGGUUGUAAAGUACUUUCAGCGGGGAGGAAGGGAGUAAAGUUAAUACCUUUGCUCAUUGACGUUACCCGCAGAAGAAGCACCGGCUAACUCCGUGCCAGCCGCCGCAGUAA
rnacentral:rRNA from 1 species